UUGGAGCUAGAGAGUAGAAGCAUGGUC
rnacentral:piRNA from 1 species